rnacentral:rRNA from 1 species
CGUAGGGUGCAAGCGUUGUCCGGAAUUAUUGGGCGUAAAGAGCUCGUAGGCGGUUUGUCGCGUCGGUUGUGAAAGCCCAGGGCUUAACCCUGGGUUGGCAGUCGAUACGGGCAGGCUAGAGUUCGGUAGGGGAGACUGGAAUUCCUGGUGUAGCGGUGGAAUGCGCAGAUAUCAGGAGGAACACCGGUGGCGAAGGCGGGUCUCUGGGCCGAUACUGACGCUGAGGAGCGAAAGCGUGGGGAGCGAACAGGAUU